CUACGGGACGCUCCAGUGGGGAAUAUUGCACAAUGGGCGAAAGCCUGAUGCAGCAACGCCGCGUGAGGGACGACGGCCUUCGGGUUGUAAACCUCUUUUAGCAGGGAAGAAGCGAAAGUGACGGUACCUGCAGAAAAAGCACCGGCUAACUACGUGCCAGCAGCCGCGGUAAUACGUAGGGGUGCAAGCGUUGUCCGGAAUUAUUGGGCGUAAAGAGCUCGUAGGCGGUUUGUCGCGUCUGCUGUGAAAAUCCGAGGCUCAACCUCGGACCUGCAGUGGGUACGGGCAAACUAGAGUGCGGUAGGGGAGAUUGGAAUUCCUGGUGUAGCGGUGGAAUGCGCAGAUAUCAGGAGGAACACCAAUGGCGAAGGCAGAUCUCUGGGCCGUAACUGACGCCGAGGAGCGAAAGCGUGGGGAGCGAACAGGAUUAGAUACCCGAGUAGUC
rnacentral:rRNA from 1 species